rnacentral:rRNA from 1 species
AGAGUUUGAUUCUGGCUCAGAUUGAACGCUGGCGGAAUGCUUUACACAUGCAAGUCGAACGGCAGCACGGGAGCUUGCUCCUGGUGGCGAGUGGCGAACGGGUGAGUAAUGCGUCGGAACGUACCGAGUAAUGGGGGAUAACGCAGCGAAAGCUGUGCUAAUACCGCAUACGCCCUGAGGGGGAAAGUGGGGGAUCGCAAGACCUCACGUUAUUCGAGCGGCCGACGUCUGAUUAGCUAGUUGGUGGGGUAAAGGCUCACCAAGGCGACGAUCAGUAGCGGGUCUGAGAGGAUGAUCCGUCACACUGGAACUGAGACACGGUCCAGACUCCUACGGGAGGCAGCAGUGGGGAAUUUUGGACAAUGGGGGCAACCCUGAUCCAGCCAUUCCGCGUGAGUGAAGAAGGCCUUCGGGUUGUAAAGCUCUUUCAGCCGGAACGAAACGGUACGCACUAAUAUUGUGUGCUAAUGACGGUACCGGCAGAAGAAGCACCGGCUAACUACGUGCCAGCAGCCGCGGUAAUACGUAGGGUGCGAGCGUUAAUCGGAAUUACUGGGCGUAAAGCGUGCGCAGGCGGAUUGUUAAGCAAGAUGUGAAAUCCCCGGGCUUAACCUGGGAAUGGCAUUUUGAACUGGCAGUCUAGAGUGUGUCAGAGGGGGGUGGAAUUCCACGUGUAGCAGUGAAAUGCGUAGAGAUGUGGAGGAACACCGAUGGCGAAGGCAGCCCCCUGGGCCAAUACUGACGCUCAUGCACGAAAGCGUGGGUAGCAAACAGGAUUAGAUACCCUGGUAGUCCACGCCCUAAACGAUGUCAACUAGGUGUUGGGUGGGUAAAACCAUUUAGUACCGGAGCUAACGCGUGAAGUUGACCGCCUGGGGAGUACGGCCGCAAGGUUAAAACUCAAA